UCCAAACUUUUCUGGGUGAAGAGGAAGGUUCCAACAAUUAAAAGCCUUAUUUGUAUUUAUUGCAUAAAUGGAAACAAACACAGUUCUUCAGAAAAUAGUCAUCAUCUUCAACUGUCUGCUCCGCUGUUCAAAGCUGCUGGAGAUCAAACCCAGGGACCAGGAAAAGGUACCACCGAGCCAGGUUCUUAAACAACAGAAUACUAAAGGAAGAGAACACCUGUCCUGUGGAGCUAGAGCUGUCUGAUCAAGUCUGAGAACUGCACUCAAGCCCCUGUAAGAGCAGUGUGGACUCCUAACUGUCUCUCCAGCCACUCCUGCGCGACUCUGGAUCAGCAGUUCUCAACAUGUGGGUUGAGACCCCCCCAGGACUGAAUGUCAGAUAUCCAGCAUAUCACAUACUUACAUCACAUUUCAUAACAAUAGCAAAAUUACAGUCAUGAAAUAGCAACAAAAUAAUUGUAUGGUUGGGACUCUGCACAACUUGCCGAACUGUAUUAAAGGGUCACAGCAUUAGGAAGGUUGAGAGCCUAUCAAAUUGACAGUAUCAGCCUUCACAGUGACCUUCAUCUGAUUGGUGCUUAUUUCACACCUCAUUUGCAUACAAGAACAGCCAAUCUUCAAAGAGAUCAAGGCUCAUUGUUCUGAGCUUUGCUUGGGCUGCUGCCUCAGGCAUGAACUGACUCCGGCUUCCACUGCUCCGCCCAUUCCCCCACCCCCUCAACACACACACACACACACACACACACACACACACACACACACACACUCACAGCCUGUAGCUGUCCUGUACUCAGUCAUGCUUCAGCUUCUAAGACUCCACGCUGGUGCCACAGACAGAAUUUGUUCCUGCUCUAGAACAGACUUCCUGCCACUGUUCCGAGACCCACCUCUCCUGGAGAGAUGCCGCUCCCGGCCCUGAGACCUGUGGGACUUGUAACAAUUCUCAGAGCUGUAUCAUUCCUAGGAGUUAUCAGCAAGUUGCUGGCCAGCGUCCCACUGCCACCAAGAGUUCAAAUCUUUAUCUUGCACUGUUUGUCCCAGUUUGUUUUCCAUUACUGUGACCAAAAGCAACUUGGGAGAAGGAAGGGGCUUACUAAUUUCAGUUAUACCUCCCCUCCCCCACCACAGCCCAUCACUGAGGGGAGCAGGAACUGAAGCAGAGAUUAUGGAGACUCAGCUCACUGGCUUGCUCCUUGUGGACUGCUCAGCUUGCUUUUUUAUACACCCAAGGACCACCUACGCUGGCCUGGUCCUCCUUGAACUUUUUUUUUAAUGUAUGUGGAUGUGUGUUUUGCCUAAAUGUACAUCUACGCAGCAGGGGCAUGCCUGGUGCCCACUUAGGCCAGAAGAGGACAUCAGAUGCCCUGGAAGUGGAGUUACAGAUAUUUGCCAGCCGCCAUGUCGGUGCUGGGAACAGAUCCAGGUCCUCUGAAAGAGCAGGCGUGCUCUUCACCACUGAGCCAACUCUGCGGCCGUGCCCUGCUGCAUUUAGUCACACUUGCUUCACGAGUAUGUGGGGGUGUCAUUUACUCGAGCCCGGGCACCUGAGAGUGGCUACAGCACUUAGAAAUAUGGUCCCCUUUGCCCUAACUAUUAACUGCUUGUAACUCCUGAGGUCGGGCUGGACUUUAUGAUCCUUUCCCACCCACCCGCUCCACCCAGGAAAGGAUAUGGACGGGCUCAGGCUUGUGCAAGUUGCCAGUGCCACUCAGAGUUCCUGAGGGGGAGCAGCCGUGCCAGGUCAGAAGACUGUUUCACAGCACUCCUCACCAUCUAGCUCACCGUUCUGCCCCAUUUUAACGUGUUCUGAGCCUGGAGGGGUUAUCCAGAUGCUUCACACGGAGCGCCCCGCACUCACUUAUUCUCAGCACUUUGACCGGUCACGAGUCUCUACACUGAUGCUUGCCCUCUGCACACAGAAGACUCUGCCCAGGGCAUAGAGCAGCACGAUCUGGACCCGUCUUCUGAAAUGUCUGUUACAUAAAGCCAUGUGAGAGCAGGCCCUGAGACAGAAUUUUGUGAUAAGCAGCAUGCACAGAGUCAAUAGGAAGUGGCCUGUAACGAAAUGGCUUCCUUCAGGGCAUAUAAUGUCAAGAAACAGAGACAGUAGUUUUUUAAAGAAAGUCCUACUCAGCCAUUGUAAGGAGCCCUAAGGACAGCAAGGGGGAAGGAGUUGCUCAUCAGAUGUGUGUGUAUUAUAGAGGGCAGUCUGGUGAGGUGACAGUGAGGAUGAAGAGAAAUACACGGGUAUUUCUCAACGGUGGAGCCAGCAGGACUUGGCAAAAUGUGUAAUGUAACGUAAGCAGUCCCACUAGGUUUCUGGCUUGAGCCACUGGCUAAAUACUGGUGCUACAGAAAUAGGAAACAUAAAUCGCUGCAGAUUGGUAGAUGUGGGAGGGUGUUACUCAUGAACUGUGUUUGCGUUUGCUGAGGGUUUUUUGUUUUUUAUGUGUUGUGGGACAUCGUACGUCUAAGUGGAGAUGUGUGACAUAGUGAUGCCUCAGAACGGGGCUAGCGGGAGUUGUAUGACCUUAAGAAGACAGACUGUCAUCAGCACUGCCAUGGCAAUCUGGAACCAUGAAAUGAGGGAGAGAAUGGGAGAGAACCCACGGGUCAAGAUAAAGGCUCACGAGAACCAAAGAACACAUGCACGGAAGCAGAAGUGUGGCAGAGAGGCUGCAGAAAGAAUGUCCAUGGAAGCCAGAAGUGAAAUACUCCCUUUAGAAUUAUCCCUAUCAGCUA